rnacentral:lncRNA from 1 species
GUCCAGCGGGCCGAAGAGGAAGUGCACCAGCUCCGCGGCGCUGGGGUUCUGGAUGUGCUUUUGCAGCUUUGCCUGGCGGGGCGAGGACAGGGCAAGGCAAGUGAGCGGGGGACAGAUGGGGUGACCUGUACCCUUUACCCUCGCCGCCGGCCCCAGCACCGCCCGCGGCUCCUCAUCCUGCGAUUCCCGGCGACGGAAGCCUGCUGGGGACAGAGCAGCUGUGACGAGGGCCCCUAGGCCCCGAGAGCCACCCGACCAGCCCCGCGGCCUACCUGGGUCUUGGGGCGGCACCGGGGGCCCACCCGGUUCUUGGCAUGAGGGGAGUCCCCUGCCCGGUCCUGGAAGGGGAUGGGGGCUGGGCCCUGGAGGGGGGGCAGGAUGGACUGCCGCUGCCGGAUCUUCUCCUGGUGUCCCCUGAAGCGGAAAUGGGGGCCAGUCAGCCUGGCCGCCACCCACACUGGGCUGCCCCACACUGGGCUGCCCCGCACUGUCCCUGCCCCUGCACUCCAGCCUAGGGAGACCCUGGGCCCUACUUCAGGGUCUGCGGCCGCAUCUUCUUCCCCAGCCGGCAGUCGGCCAGUGCACUCUCGAUGUCCUCCUGCACCAGCUCAGCCUGGGGACACAGGGGCGUCAGGCUCACCCAGCGUGCACCGUGCCGCCCGCCCUGGGGCCUGCUGGCUCACCUCCACCUCGUCACAGUGGAAGAAAUGGAUGUCGGGCUUGUUCUGCUCGGAGUCCUGGCACACCAGGAGCAGCACUGAGGGACAGGCCCUGACACACAGCCGGCCCAGAGGACAGCGGCCCAACCUCCACCCACCCAUACCUGCGUCUCGAUGUCCAGCAGCCGCACUGACUGGUCGCUGACCUGCAGCAGCAUCUCCUGGGCCCAGACCUUCUCCUUGGAGCUCAGCUGCACCAACUUCCGGAUGGCGUCGUCCACGGAGGGAUCGAACUCAGAGGCAGGCAGCAGAACCACUGAGCUAAAUCCCCACCCAGUGAUUUUCAUUUCUGACAACGUGAUUGUGCAGCAGGCGGCGAAACCACUGAGCUAAAUCCCCGGGCCUCUUCUUAAAAUAAUUCACGAAGCAGAGGAGCAGAGGAGCAGAGGUGGCUGUGAUCUACAGGAUCUCAUUUACAGACAAAACUGUAGUGAUGGGGGACACGGCAGUUGCCAGAGACUGGGGAGGGGUGGCUGUGACCACAGAGGGUUUCAAAGGAGGAUGGACUGGUGGUGGAGCUGCUGUGUGCCCAGGUCACCAUGGUAACAGAACCACACACCCCCCCAUUUACUGUAGGAAGUUAGAAAAGAAAUAAACAUGG